CGGGGUGUAGCGCAGUUGGCUAGCGCGCCACGUUAGGGACGUGGAGGCCGCGAGUUCGAGUCUCGCCACUCCGAUCA
rnacentral:tRNA from 1 species